CUUCCCAGGAACUCAUCCCUCACGGCCAAACUACGGGGCAUGGAACAGGAAGUUGGAGGAUCAGCCGCUUGGGUUUCCUCCAAAGAAAAGCACUGCUUGGCACCUACUCCUCCAAAACCAUUGGUAACUACUCCCAACAGAAUCCAGUGGACUGGCUGAACUUCAAAGGUUGUGCAGGUUUGAAAUUGAUAAGUCCUUUUUUGGGGGUGGGGGGUGGGGGGUUAGCACACUUUGAGAAACACUGGCCUAGAUAGCCACGAGAUCCCUGAAGCCACCCCGUGAGUAGCCUGAACUAUCUACACACAAGCCCAGUCGGACAAUUAAAACACAAACAUUAGCAUACGGCUGCCUUCCACUCGCAAGCAGACUGAGGUCACAUUAUUAUUAUUAUUAUUUUUUUUCGCUGUGAUUUGGAGUUUUCAUCGCAUAUUGUUUUUGAUCAGCCAACCCUGCAACCCAGUUUGGCACCAAAAUGGCUGCUGAUGUUGGACCGCGUCCAACACGGAGCCGAGAAGGAAGAUGAGGCAUAUUCCACCCUCCAGUUUUGUAAAAAUAUAAACAAUAUUGUUCUCGGAGAAGGGACUGUUUAAUAUUCUUUAAAAAAAAAAAAAAUCUAUAGGAUUCACACAGGAGGAUUAUUUUCCUGCUACCACCAAAGUGUAGAAGUGAGGGGGUGGGAAUGAGGGAGAGCAUGAAUCCAUCUGUUCAUUACAAAAACAAAAAAAGACAAACACAGUCAAGAGGAUGCGACCAAUGACAUAUUGAAUAUGUGAGGUUGUAAUUACAUGGCUUCAUUUAGUCAUGGAAAGAAAACAGCGCGCUGCAUUCCUCCACACAAUGCAACGGCGAGGAGGCCGCACUCACGAUAUAAUUACACACAUCCAUUCUCACUAAGUGUCAAUUUAACAAUAGCUUUUUUUUUCUUCUUCUUCUUCUUCUUCUUUUUGGUCAAAUAUAUUCAAAAAUCUCUUCACAGAGGUGGGGAACCAAUCGCCCGUGAUCACCUUUGACCCAGGCUGUGAAAUUCUCAAACCAAAUGAAACCCAUCAGAGGGAUUGCUAUCAAAAAAGCUCCAUUUCGUCCACACAUGCUCAGAGUAUAUAAAACAAAUAUUAAAUCCAUUGUUAAAUGCGAUUUUUGGUUGUCAAUUUACAGAAAAAAAAAAAAGGUUCCCCACCCCCGCUGCAUUAUUCACUGGCUAAUGCUCUUAACAUCAAUAGUACAUUGAACAUAAAUAGUUUCUCUAUCUACUCACAUCAUAGACGAUAUUGCUUUGUGCGUACUGCAUGGGAAUAGCUGCUACAUGACAUUUCUUCAUGGAACUCUCGCCAACGACCCCGAUGGUGACUUCAGUGAUUUAAAUUGAGCCCCCCUAGCCCCUUUUUUUAAAAAUUUUAAUGUAUAGUUAAUCUUCAAUUCUCUGGGUUCCUGUUCAUUUAUCCAUGCAGAUGAGUUGAGAAAAGACCCCGUGAGGCCCAAAUAAUUGGAAAGUCAGUGGACACUCGCCAGGAAGCUCGGCAGUGAAAACUGGUUGUUCCAGCAGAGAGUGACGCUUCUCCUACAACGUGCUCUCUGUUUAGAGCGCGAACACUCCUUUCAGCCUCUGCGCUUGUCCACAAUCCACGUUUCAUCCCGACUUCUCUAUCCACUCGCCUGCCCUUGAUGACGCCAUGUAGAAAAGUCUCGCUCCAGCACAAUGGACUCUGUCAUUUAACAAGCGUUGCUGAUUGCUCCAAAAAAAUAAUAAAAUAUCCGCCAGCCCAACUCGAUGGUUCUUGGGAACAUCGAUAAUUCGAUCGUCAAUAAAGUUCGAGGAAUCAAAUGACAAGUAGUCUUGCCACACGAAUGUGGUUAUUCAGCCCAAAAUGCACGUUAAGCGUCAUGAAAUAAUGUCAUCUCGCUUGACAGCUCGUGACCUUUUGGCAACCGACGUCGGAUUCUGGCGUUAGUUUUCCUUUCUGAGUAGACCGUGUUGAUUUAAUUGUUUCGUUACAUAAAUCGUAAA